GAUGAAAUGUGUGCGCAGCUCGC
rnacentral:piRNA from 1 species